rnacentral:rRNA from 1 species
AUUGAACGCUGGCGGCAGGCUUAACACAUGCAAGUCGAACGAGUGGCGGACUGGUGAGUAAUGCUUGGGCAUCUGGCUUAUGGAGGGGGAUAACGACGGGAAACUGUCGCUAAUACCGCGUAACAUACGAUGAGCCCAAGUGGGAUUAGGUAGUUGGUGGGGUAAUGGCCUACCAAGCCGACGAUGUCUAGCUGGUCUGAGAGGAUGAGCGGCCACACAGGGACGGAGAAACGGCCCGGACUCCUACGGGAGGCAGCAGUGGGGAAUAUUGGGCAAUGGGGGCAAACUGACGCAGCAAUGCCGCGUGAAUGAAGAAGGCCUUCGGGUUGUAAAGUUCUUUCGGUGACGAGGCGUUAAUCACAGAAGAAGCAACGGCUAACUCCGUGCCAGCAGCCGCGGUAAUAC